rnacentral:rRNA from 1 species
AGCACUUUAAUUCGAUUCUUCGGAUGAAGAUUUUUGUGACUGAGCGGCGGACGGGUGAGUAACGCGUGGGCAACCUGCCUUACACAGGGGGAUAACAGUUAGAAAUGACUGCUAAUACCGCAUAAGACCGCAGUACCGCAUGGUACAGCGGUAAAAACUCCGGUGGUGUAAGAUGGGCCCGCGUCUGAUUAGGUAGUUGGCGGGGUAACGGCCCACCAAGCCGACGAUCAGUAGCCGACCUGAGAGGGUGACCGGCCACAUUGGGACUGAGACACGGCCCAGACUCCUACGGGAGGCAGCAGUGGGGAAUAUUGCACAAUGGGGGAAACCCUGAUGCAGCGACGCCGCGUGAGCGAUGAAGUAUUUCGGUAUGUAAAGCUCUAUCAGCAGGGAAGAAAAUGACGGUACCUGACUAAGAAGCCCCGGCUAACUACGUGCCAGCAGCCGCGGUAAUACGGAGGAUUCAAGCGUUAUCCGGAUUUAUUGGGUUUAAAGGGUGCGUAG